rnacentral:sRNA from 1 species
CCUAUUUGCCCUUCGGGGCGUUUCCUCCCUGAAUCGGCCGCGCGGUGUCUCGCGCGGCCCUUUUCCGCUAUCGG